CGGGCAGUAUCGCAUAUGAACUGCACCGGGUAACUGUUUGCUCUUGAAAAAUUUAUAUGAUGAUGUCUGCCUUGAUCUACUACAUGACAGGGACGGAGGA
rfam:Planomicrobium glaciei strain CGMCC 1.6846 genome assembly, contig: Ga0070170_103